UCAAAGGAGAAUGUCUAAUGGUUGCUAAA
rnacentral:piRNA from 1 species